rnacentral:rRNA from 1 species
CGCGUAGGCGGCUAUUUAAGUCAGAUGUGAAAGCCCAUGGCUCAACCAUGGACGUGCAUUUGAUACUGGGUAGCUUGAGUACUGGAGGGGGUGGUGGAAUUCCCGGUGUAGAGGUGAAAUUCGUAGAUAUCGGGAGGAAUACCGGUGGCGAAGGCGACCGCCUGGCCAGAUACUGACGCUGAGGUGCGAAAGCGUGGGGAGCAAACA